CUCCAGUCUCCUCGGUGGCUGGAAAUACCCACUGUGUGGCUUCCAGCCAUGGCUCACAGGGAGGCUGCUGUUGCUUGGCACUAGCUAAUUGUGCUGGGGCAGCUGCCAGGGUUUCAGUUCUACCCAUGUUCUGAGCCUUCAACCCUCAGCUCCCCUCUUCCUUGUUUCUCUCUUUGCAGAUUUUCCUUUCUAUUCUUUCUGCACAGUAUACAUUUCUCUGAAGGAGGAGACUGGAAGUCCAAAUGCCCACAUUGUGUCCACUGAAAGCUUCUCCUUCAAAGUUUCUAAGAACACUCAGCCUUCCACUGCUGUUUGUCCUAAAGAAGUAUUUGAAGGACAGAAUAUCCUUUGCAGCCCAAACUCUUUUUCACCUGGACUUUGAUACCGCACAGCUCCUCCAUGCAAUGAGCGCCAAUCUCUCCAGUCUGAAAGGCUCCAAGCAGGUGGCUCAGAAGUUAGAGGUGAUUCUGAGGGCAGCUGCGGGACGAAAGAUGGGAGCAAUGAGGCCCUCUUCUCUUCAAAGGAUCACCCUCCCAGAAAGAGCUGAACUAAACCGACUGGAGGAGCCUAAGUCUAUGGAAGAGUCCCAGGUCCGAGAUGGAGGAAGCCCCCUGGGGUGGAGGAGGGGACAGAGGUAGCGCUGCAGCGGCAUCUGUCCCGGGCGGGAAGCUGCUGCAUUAAAUUGUAAAAUCGAUUUAUUGACCGGCAGGUGCGAGCAGCGGCAGAUGGGGAGCAGCGCGGCCGGGGCACAUCUGCGGGGAGCGGCAGCAUCGAUCCGGGAGCGGGGAGCAAGAAGUCAUUGGGGGAGGGGGGCGCUGCCCCCGCCACAAUCUUGUGGGCCUAGGAGCUUCUCCCCUUCUCACCCAAUCGCAGGGCUAAGGAUCGGAUAAGUUCAGGCAGCAUCCCGACCCCUGCUCCAACACCACUCCAGCUCCCUUUCUCCCCCAUCCCGAGCCUCCGGGGUCUAUGGGGCUCUGGAACACUGGGGCUGCGCCCCCAUUUAGUUGGCAGCCCUCCACGGCCCCGCUGCCCCAGUUGGCACAUGGCUUGCUGGACUGGCGCGUGGCAGCGCCCUGCGGCAGAUGAGGCACGCGCCGGCCUCAUUACAAUGUGAAUGGGCAGAAGGGAGCAGCCAUGUGGCAGCAACAGUUUGCAAAUCUCCCCGCCUUCUGUGCAGCUCUCUGGCCGCCUCCCGCGCACUCCCCCACCCCCCCUUCCCUUUCGCGACCGCAGCAGCGCCCCUCAAGGCUUAAGGGUGGCGGCCCCAACUCCAACUCUCGCCCCAUCUACCGUCUCGCUGCCUCCCGCCCCCUCCCCAGCCCCGCAGGCUUAAACUCCUAAGGCCCCAGCCAUAUUUUUGCCAGGCUUCAGACUUAUAGAACUAUUUGCUGAUCCCCAAGGAUCCUCACACUCAAAUAGAGAAUCCACUGAAAGCGCUAUUCCCUGGGGCUGUAAAGAAUCUAGGAAGUUCUUCGUGAUAGUCUAUUGCUCUGUUCUGAGCCUAAUGGUUCUGUAUGGAUGGGGAAGGAAGGGGGAAUUGAGGGGGGGGGGGAGGGAGGGCGGAAGCACUACGGACUUUGGCGAGCCUGGACUUGGGUCUUCCACAGCUUGAGGUUCUAAGUUUUAACACUUUGUUCUCUCCCCAUCCCAGUCUGAUUAAUUACUCUCUGUCAUUAAAACUUGGAGGUACUAGCCUGGUCGCUUGUGGAGCAAGUAGGAGAAAGAAGAAAGCUACUUAUUGAAUCUCUGAACUCAACUCAUAGGGGUAGGGCCUGGCCUCUAGCCCAUUUACAGAAAGGAGCUCCGAUCAAGGUGAUCCCCAAAAGCCAAGGUCUUCUUAUGAUUGGUCUGAGAUCUGAAGUGCAGAGGUGCAGUGCCCUACCAUUCAGCACCAGGGCCUAAUAUCUAAAAAUUGGUCCUUGACCUUGCCUCUUGCCCUAUAAAUAGAGUUUAUAAAACUAUUCAGAACCUGGGUUCUGGCCCUGCCCAGGUCUUCCACAGAAUCUGACUAACAACACUGUGACUAGAAUAUUUUCCAAUCCCAUCCCCAGUGUGGUGUGGGGUCAGAUGAGAGUGGAGGUAAGAGAAGUUCUGCCAUUCUGGCCUUCUCUAGGAGGUUAGGGGAGGGCAGCCUCAGAACCAGUAUACCACGAUGGUAAUCAGACUCGAUCUCUGAAGGGUCUCUGUCACUCCCUUCCGAGCCUCUAGUUACCUGAUCUGCUUUCCUGUCCAUAAACCCUGAGUAGGAGGUGAUGGAGACAGGAUGGAACACUGUGCCAGAGGGAAUCCUGACUUCAUCUUUGUUAGAUUUUUCUUUGGGCCGUUGGUCCACUACUCUGUCCUCAUUUUCCACCGCCCCACCGCUCAGAGAUUUUUUCUCUAUCACAUGUAGACAAAGCCCAAGAGGCAAAGCAUUGGGGCAGAGGGAGUUCGAGAGGCAACCCAGACUGAGAUAAUGAGCUCCUUCUAUUGCACCACGUGCAGAGAGACGCCUCCUAAAUGCUUUUUGAUGAUGAGCAUUUAUUUAACCUUUUCCUCUCCACAAAUAGGGCCUGUCUCCUUUGAGAGGCCUUUUGGAUUUCCCCUCAAUUUGGGACACAGUUCUUAAGAGACUUCUGGACAGAGGCCUAGAGGAGCAGACAGAGGAAAGAUCUUUUGGGAAAGGAUGGGCUACAAGACAUAAGUUGGAGAGGAGCCCAAACUUUGAGAGAGACCAGAGCCCACAUCCACUUGAGGAUGGCCAAUUUUGGCAUGAAAGCUGAAUUCUUGGGUCCUAUUCUCCAAAACUGAAGCAUUCUUCUGAGCUAAGGCGGUUAUCAGUGGUUCCAUUUUUGCCUUGGGUAUUACCAAAUGUCCACCUUACAAUCUGGAAACCUGAAGGAGAAAAAAAAAGGAUUGGGAAAAGAACGCAAAAGGUCUCCGGAGAAAUUAUCCAGAAGGCCAAUACUUUGGACCAGAGCUUUGAGAAGGACUAGGACAGUUCUUCCAAAGUGGGGGUGGGACAGUCAGGUCGUCCACCUAGAAGGAUAGAGCGGCAGCCUUUGGCAUUUUUGUUUGGUUUUUAAAAAGCUGUGGGUUGAGAACCGAGGUUUAGGAUCCCCUUUGCCUAGAGAGCCGGGAGGCAAGCCCGGGGCUCUCUC
ensembl:lncRNA